CCUACGGGAGGCAGCAGUGGGGAAUAUUGGGCAAUGGGCGCAAGCCUGACCCAGCAACGCCGCGUGAAGGAAGAAGGCUUUCGGGUUGUAAACUUCUUUUGUCAGGGAAGAGUAGAAGACGGUACCUGACGAAUAAGCCACGACUAACUACGUGCCAGUAGCCGCGGUAAUACGUAGGUGGCAAGCGUUGUACGAAUGUACUGGGUGUAAAGGGCGUGUAGCCGGGUUCAUAAGGCAGAUGCGAAAUCCUGCGGCUUAACCGCAGAACUGCAUUUGAAACCGUUGAUCUUGAGUACUGGAGAGGCAGACGGAAUUCCUGGUGUAGCGGUGAAAUGCGUAGAUAUUAGGAGGAACACCAGUGGCGAAGGCGGUCUGCUGGACAGCAACUGACGGUGAGGCGCGAAAGCGUGGGGAGCAAACAGGAUUAGAUACCCGAGUAGUC
rnacentral:rRNA from 1 species